CCUACGGGCGGCAGCAGUGAGGAAUAUUGGUCAAUGGACGAGAGUCUGAACCAGCCAAGUAGCGUGCAGGAUGACUGCCCUAUGGGUUGUAAACUUCUUUUAUAAAGGAAUAAAACGAGGCACGUGUGCCUUUUUGCAUGUACUUUAUGAAUAAGGAUCGGCUAACUCCGUGCCAGCAGCCGCGGUAAUACGGAGGAUCCGAGCGUUAUCCGGAUUUAUUGGGUUUAAAGGGAGCGUAGAUGGGUUGUUAAGUCAGUUGUGAAAUUUUGCGGCUCAACCGUAAAAUUGCAAUUGAUACUGGCAGUCUUGAGUACAGUUGAGGUAGGCGGAAUGCGUGGUGUAGCGGUGAAAUGCUUAGAGAUCACGAAGAACCCCGAUUGCGAAGGCAGCUUACUAAACUGUGACUGACAUUGAUGCACGAAAGUGUGGGUAUCAAACAGGAUUAGAUACCCUGGUAGUC
rnacentral:rRNA from 1 species